GGAACAACGUGGCCUUCACCUGAGGAACGUCAGGCUUCACACAUGAGUUUCCCACAUGGGUUUGCACAAUAUACUGGCCAAACACUGAAAGCAGCCCAGAGGCUGGAUGUUCUGCAGGGCCAGCCUGAGCAUGGAGAGACUAGAUGUCACCUUCAUGGCCUGAGCUUCCUAUUGAAAGUAUCUUGGAAAGAGACAGAUGCACAUACAGUCUUCAUAAACAAUAAGUAUUGAAUUAAUAAACUAUAAGAAUUCAUGGGCAGGAUGGGAUUAGGAAGGGAACGUGAAGUUUGGAGGGAAUCUAACUUCAACAAAUAUGAAUAGACAGGCAAAAAAUGUAUGGUUAGAAGGUAUUACGAUAGGCCAGUUUAGGGGAUACAUUGUGAAGGAAAAAAGGGAUAUCUUGAAACUCAUAAACUGAAGUCUUUAAGUCAUCAACUAACUUGAAUUUAACAUCCUUAGUCUAACCAAACACCCUUUUCUUGUUAUCUAGCACCAGACAUUAGAUUUCAUAAAUCUUACAAGAACUCUUCAACCUCGUCAGCCCUUCCUGAGUUUGACUCUUGCUCUGAUUUACAUUUUUAGGUCAGACAGCUGUUCUACUACUUGCUUGACCCAGAGGAUAAUAUAAGGCUAUGGGUGCUACUUGGUCCUGAGCACAGACAAAGCCUGAAACAACCACAGCUGAAUCUUCUAUUUCACACCCUGCUUUCAGUAAAAGGUGAAGAGCCAGACUGAAUAGUGAAGACAGUCAAAGAC